CCUACGGGUGGCAGCAGUCGAGAAUCAUUCACAAUGGGGGAAAGCCUGAUGGUGCGACGCCGCGUGGGGGAAUGAAGGUCUUCGGAUUGUAAACCCCUGUCAUGUGGGAGCAAAUUAAAAAGAUAGUACCACAAGAGGAAGAGACGGCUAACGCGGUGCCAGCAGCCCCGGUAAUACAGGGGGCUCAAGGGGUGUUCGGAAUCACUGGGCGUAGAGCGUGCGUGGGCGGGGUCGUAGGGGGUGUGUGAAAGGUGCGGGCUCAACCCGCGGAGGGCAGAUGAUACUGCGAGACUAGAGUAAUGGAGGGGGAACCGGAAUUCGCGGUGUAGCAGUGAAAUGCGUAGAUAUCGCGAGGAACACCCGUGGCGAAGGCAGGUUCCCGGACAUUAACUGACGCUGAGGCACGAAGGCCAGGGGAGCGAAAGGGAUUAGAUACCCUUGUAGUC
rnacentral:rRNA from 1 species